GUGGGGAAUAUUGGACAAUGGGCGAAAGCCUGAUCCAGCCAUGCCGCGUGUGUGAAGAAGGUCUUCGGAUUGUAAAGCACUUUAAGUUGGGAGGAAGGGCAGUAAGUUAAUACCUUGCUGUUUUGACGUUACCGACAGAAUAAGCACCGGCUAACUUCGUGCCAGCAGCCGCGGUAAUACGAAGGGUGCAAGCGCUAAUCGGAAUUACUGGGCGUAAAGCGCGCGUAGGUGGUUUUGUAAGUUGGAGGUGAAAUCCCCGGGCUCAACCUGGGAACUGCCUCCAAAACUGCAUGACUAGAGUACGGUAGAGGGUAGUGGAAUUUCCUGUGUAGCGGUGAAAUGCGUAGAUAUAGGAAGGAACACCAGUGGCGAAGGCGACUACCUGGACUGAUACUGACACUGAGGUGCGAAAGCGUGGGGAGCAAACAGGAUUAGAAACCCCUGUAGUCC
rnacentral:rRNA from 1 species